CGGGUGAGUAAUACAUAAGUAACCUGCCCUAGACAGGGGGAUAACUAUUGGAAACGAUAGCUAAGACCGCAUAGGUACGGACACUACAUGGUGACCGUAUUAAAAGUGCCUCAAAGCACUGGUAGAGGAUGGACUUAUGGCGCAUUAGCUGGUUGGCGGGGUAACGGCCCACCAAGGCGACGAUGCGUAGCCGACCUGAGAGGGUGACCGGCCACACUGGGACUGAGACACGGCCCAG
rnacentral:rRNA from 1 species